rnacentral:miRNA from 1 species
GAGAGAGAGAGAGAAAGAGAGAGAGAGAGAGAGAGAGAGGUGGGGAGGGCAACCAAUGAAUAAUAUAUGAUGACCGAGAUGGGAAAGGAGGCUUGAAAAGACCUUCGUGUGGGUAUAUGCCUGCCUGCCUGCCUGCCUAUUAUAAUCCUUAGUUUCUCUCUCUUGUUCAUAUUCCUUUGUAUCUAUGUAGCUAUGUAUGUGUGCAUCAUCCUCCCUAUGUAGUCUCUCUCUCUCUCUCUCUCUCUCUCUCUCUCUCUCUCUCUUUCUCUCUCU